rnacentral:lncRNA from 1 species
GUCCUUUAUAGCCUGCUGUUUGGGGUGUAUAAAAGCCCUGUGUAAAAGGCCGUACUUUGACCUGUGUUUGUUAUUAUCAGGUUGAGAACAACCCUCCCUCAGACAAGGGGUCAUUUUACUGAUGUAGAAAAGAAAAUAGAAAUACCAAGGAUUUGUAUAGUUCUUCUAUACAAAACCUUUGAAAACUUAGAAUUUUGUACCCAAAAAGAGGAGAGUUACAUCAUAUUUUAAACAACUUUUUUCUAAAAGAGGGGUCC